UGAGUGCCAGAGGAAAUCAUCGACCUGAUCUGAGCAGCGAAUGAUGUGAUCUAUUUCUCAGUGUUUUUACCCUUUGUGUAAACACUCAAGGGCAGCAGGCUGUUGGUUAAAAUACUGAGUCUUAAUGCAGCUUACAUAAUGCAGAUAGCUGUUAGUUUAACAGCUACCCUGUGCUCACCAACGCCCUGGCAGCCCUCAGCCCUGCCACUUGCCUGCUGGUCGGCCAAGGGCUCUAUUUCCCCAGACUCUGAUAGAGGCAGGAGCAAGGGACAUGGCACCAGGCACCGUCCAGAUGAUUUUCCAGCUGCCGCUGGACCCGGGCGUGGAUACGGCCAGAAAUCAAGAGGAUGCCGGAGGGAAGAGAUUCUCCUAUGCACGACUUGGGAGGAACCCAUGUGGCUGCUGUCUAAGGCUGAUGCCUCACAGGGACUCAUGUGUCUCCUGCAUGAAUGGGCGAAGAAGAGGACAGAAGUAACUUCAAUGGCUACUGUCUGGAAGAUCUGCGUGAUACUCCGGAAAGGAAUGGAGAAAACUUGAGUUUGAAGGCAGUAGUGUGGCUUCCAUGGAUAAGAAGCAGAGAUAAGAUGCAACUUUUCAGAGCCAACUCAAGGCCUCUUUCUGGUUCUGGCUCUUGGACAUGGUUUUGUCUGAGAACUAUAGCUUGUGGGCCUCCUGUUUUUGUAUGACUGAUGAGCUAAGAAUAGCUUUUACAUUUUAAAUGGUUGGAAAAAAAUAAAAAGAAGAACAUUUUGGGAGAUGUGAAAAUUACAUGAAAUUCACAUUUCAGUGUCUAUAAAUAAAGUUUUAUUGGAAUACA